rnacentral:rRNA from 1 species
CAGUAGCCGCGGUAAUACGAAGGGGGCUAGCGUUGUUCGGAUUAACUGGGCGUAAAGGGCGCGUAGGCGGGUUUUUAAGUCAGAGGUGAAAUCCCAAGGCUCAACCUUGGAACUGCCUUUGAUACUGGAAGUCUUGAGUCCGGGAGAGGUGAGUGGAACUGCGAGUGUAGAGGUGAAAUUCGUAGAUAUUCGCAAGAACACCAGUGGCGAAGGCGGCUCACUGGCCCGGUACUGACGCUGAGGCGCGAAAGCGUGGGGAGCAAACAGGAUUAGAUACCCGUGUAGUCCCUGUCUCUUAUAA